rnacentral:rRNA from 1 species
AUCCCAGACUCCUACGGGAGGCAGCAGUGGGGAAUAUUGCACAAUGGGGGAAACCCUGAUGCAGCGACGCCGCGUGAAGGAAGAAGUAUUUCGGUAUGUAAACUUCUAUCAGCAGGGAAGAAAGUGACGGUACCUGACUAAGAAGCCCCGGCUAACUACGUGCCAGCAGCCGCGGUAAUACGUAGGGGGCGAGCGUUAUCCGGAUUCACUGGGUGUAAAGGGAGCGUAGACGGCCAAGCAAGCCAGGGGUGAAAGCCCGGGGCCCAACCCCGGGACUGCCCUUGGAACUGCUUGGCUGGAGUGCGGGAGGGGCAGGCGGAAUUCCUGGUGUAGCGGUGAAAUGCGUAGAUAUCAGGAGGAACACCGGCGGCGAAGGCGGCCUGCUAGACCGCUACUGACGUUGAGGCUCGAAAGCGUGGGGAGCGAACAGGAUUAGAUACCCCAGUA